UACGUAGGGUGCAAGCGUUGUCCGGAAUUAUUGGGCGUAAAGAGCUCGUAGGCGGCUUGUCGCGUCGGCUGUGAAAAUCCGGGGCUCAACCCCGGACUUGCGGUGGGUACGGGCAGACUAGAGUGUGGUAGGGGAGACUGGAAUUCCUGGUGUAGCGGUGAAAUGCGCAGAUAUCAGGAGGAACACCGGUGGCGAAGGCGGGUCUCUGGGCCGAUACUGACGCUGAGGAGCGAAAGCGUGGGGAGCAAACAGG
rnacentral:rRNA from 1 species